AGAUCUCAUCAACCAUUUUUACACUGAUCUAAACUUCCUGAACUUUACAGUUUGCACUUAGAUCCCUAGUUAGGUCAAUCUAAGUGAAAGGUUCACACUUGGGUGAACUAAGUUGGACUGAGUGGCCCUUUAACCGCCCCAUAACAUUUGUACCUAGCUUAAGUGUGUUUAUCCAGGCUGUGAAAUGCAGCUUUUAAAACUAUUAGUUUACUUUAACUUUCUGGUUCACUUUCUUUCAUGCUAGAUUUUUAAAAGUUAUAUUUAAGCAUCGAUUACUGUAGUUUGUGAUUUUGUAUAAAACAUGUAUGUCGCAGAGCACUGAGGUGCCCUGCUCCUAGAGAGGGGAAACUGCCGGGGAAAGAGUCCAAGCAGGGAAUAAGGUUGCCAGGGCAACCAGGAGGUCAUCUGACUGUAAAGGGCAGGGCCUGGCUCUUAUAAAGCCCAGGAGCUGAGGCCAGAGGCAGUUCCCUGCCAGCAGCCAGAGAGGCAGAAGCUCCCUAAGCCAGGGUGCGAGAAGAAGCUUGACCGCAGGCCAUCAAAUCAGAAGGGGAAGAUUCAUGGAGUGAGGUUGUGCAGGACCCCAAGGAAGACUUCAAGAUGUUCAGGACUCUGAUCCAGGAUUUUUGAUGCUUUCCAAAACUUCUUGGGGCAUUUGAUCAGACCUGGGAGGGUAACGCUAUGUGGAUUUUCGGGGAGCAUUGAAUCUGCAGCUGGAAGAAGGCUUUAACUCGUGGCGUAGCAAAAGUUGCUGAGCACAAGGCAGAAUGAUAGAUGAUGCUCAGACUACAUGAAAGGAAGACAGAAAUGAAGGAAGUGCUAGCAAAGGGAGGAGAAAGAAAGAAGACAAUACACAAUGGGCAAGGGGAAGAGACACCCAAAUAUUGGGGGAAAAGGGCAGCAUAAUACAAAAGAGAUAAGGAAGACAAAGUGUCACCAAGCAGUGGAUCUCGAUCCACUAGUAGAUCUUGGAGCCUCUUAUAGUGGACCUUGGAGCCUCUUGGAGUCAAUCUGAGGCUGGAGCGGGGGGGGCUGAGUGCCCGCAUAUAUGCAUGCACGUGCGCCAGGUCAGUCUGUUGGGGAGGGAAGGGGCAGGGGCUAGAUUGAGGCCCCUGCUGUGAGGGACGGUGCUACGGGAGCAGGGGUAAGUGGAGUAGACCCUGGCUCAGUGGGACUUACCUGCUGGGGAGGCAUGGCCCCAAAUAAUUUUUUCUUAAACUACCCCCUCACUUCCCUUCUGUAACAGGGGGCCUUCUCAGGGCCGCUUUCGCUGUGGUCCGCCCACCUGUUCCUGGCCUAACCGCCCACCUUCUUGCCCACCACACUUUGUUGGUAUAAUUAAUUAAUAGAUGUUAAUAAGCGGGAGGCUGCCCAUUUACUGCCCCGAUGCCAGGGGGCACUAUUUGCAGCUCCUUUCCUCCCCUGCACCGCAGCCCAAGCCUCGCAGAUGGCAUCUCAAUGUCCCUUUAAUUACUGGCCCCCACACUGGGCUCCAGAAUCCUCCUAUUGAAUCCCACCUGGAUUCCUCCCCUCAGGCAGCCUCUUCCACCGUCAUACCAGGCAGCAUAGCCCCCUGAACUGGUUCCCCUUUGGGUGUAAUUCCCCCCACCAGGACCUUUGGCUACUAGCCCUGGCCCACCUCCAGGCCAGUCGGGACCCCAGGCCCUCAGGUCUUGGGCAACUCUCGUGGUGGGCCCCUGGCCCUUCAACCCUUCUGGUCCUAGCCCCAGCAUGGGCCAGUCAGGGGAAACUCAGACAGGCCUGAGUCUAUGGCCCUUUUCUCUCUCCGAGGGUCCACUCUCUGGGCCCUCCAAAACAAGGGGUAACCCACCCGGUCAUGGGGGCUAGGGGUUAAGGUGCCCCGACCCACCUUUCACCAGGGUGGUAACUGGCCUGGCAUUUCCUGGGGGCUCCCACACCACUGACAGCCCUACCAGGCCACCUAUUCCUGGCAGGGUGCAGUUUUAGGUUGUACCCAGGACCAGGAGCCUCCUUACUAUCCCCUACAGCUCCUCCCUCACCUCCAGAUAACACCAGCAGCCCUCCAGCCAGGCAAUGUUGUUGCUUGGCCCCUAGCAGCCAAGCUGCCCUGUUUAUAUGGGCAGCCCCAGAUCCCAAAAUAGCUGCCCUAAUCAGGCAUCUGGCAGCUGCCAGCUCCAGGACCUUAAAGUGGGAGGCACAACCAGUGCCCUGCCACACCUUCCUACAGAUUUACCUGCUGGGUGGUGGUGUGGUGUGGGUGUGGUUGUGGUGGCAGCAGCAGUGGCAGUGCACAGUAGAUCUUGGGUUGCUUUUAAGUGCCAAAGGUGAUCUCCUACUUAAAAAGGUUGGAGACCACUGUUGUAGAGUACAAAGUCCACAAGGAAGGUGGGAAGGAGUUGUCAAGAAAUGUAAGUGAAAAAAUGCACGGAACUACUACAGCCUAUAAAAAUGAGAACAGUCUCUUUUAUACUAUACAGUUUCUUACACUGUGGAUGCAUCUCCAUGAGAAACUGACUGCAGUUGGUAAUCUGCAGUCAUUUAAUACUUGCAUACACAUGUACUAAACAACUGCGCAGUAACCGGAAUUACUGCACAGAACAUCCCUAAACAGCUUCUUGGUGACACUAACUACAAAGUAGCUUGUUAAUACUGCACAUUAGUGUUGCAUCAUACUUCAUGCCAUGUGACACUGCUGCAUGGUAGUAACAAGCUACUGCGGAGUCAGUGUGGACACGACCUGUGUACACCACUGUGGAGUCUAAUUCAGUGAAAGGUUUUCGACAACAAAGAAAUCAGACAAAAAACACUAUUACUACUACUACUACUACAACAACAAAAAAUCAGAGUUACAGGAGCCAAAUAAUAUUCAGCAAGUAUCUAGGUCUGGAAGAAAGGUUCUGGCAGAUCUGGAAUUCUCAUUCUUCCUCUCAUUCUUCCAAAUUCUAUGACAGAUCAGUCCUUAUUUCCAUUUAUCAUCUUUUUUAUGCUGAUAUCUUCUUUGACAAUAAACACUGUGGGGGUUUGGUUAAAAUUUGUUCAAAAUUUCAGGUACUUGGAAUGCACUGCAUUGUGUUGCUUUUGAUAUGCAAUCUACAUGAGGCAUGAUUUCAGGAGUUAAACAUGAAAUGUAACCUUUAAACACUGAAAAUAAAUUCAUACAACAGCUUGAGGACAAUAUACACAGCUGACUACAACCAGAUUGGCAAGAAUAUUUCUUCUGCCAAUAUUUCUUCUGAACUUGCUUGAAUAUUUCUUCUGAAUGAAUGCUCCAGCAUUCAAUUAUAUACUAACAAAUCAAUAACUGUUCAUCUGACUGAUCCACACAUAUUUGCAGAGAUGCAAUAAAAUUUUAAAAGGAAACCUUUUAUCCUGCAUCUGUUUGAGAUACCAGAGGUUAGUGGGUCAGGAAAUCACUGCCCCACUAAUAUUUUAAACUUUGUUCAUCCUGAAAAGUCAGACUUGAUGCCAUAAGAUUAAAAUCUGUCCUGUUUUUGUCAUCCUUUGGCUCAGGCCAAAUUUUUAACAUUUUUAACAUUUGAAAAAGUUUUUAACAUGCUACAUACUCACCAUAAAACAUUGUUUGAAA